UCAAAGGCGUUGAACGUGUCAGUAGAGAACUAUUUUCUAACAGAGAGAGGGAAUCAUCGGCUGGAAGUUUCCUUUAGUUCAGAUAGGGAUCGAAUUUCCCACGGGAGCUGCAUUUUGGAAAGGAUUCUAGGUGAUUGAUGCCCGGAACUUAGUAGAAGAUGACGUAUCUGCACGUUACGCAGUCCGAGAGCCUGACUUUUAUGAGCAGGAAUUAGGGUGGUACCGCGAUAGACCUCGUCCCUUUU
rnacentral:ncRNA from 1 species